GGACAACGAAUUGUCCACGACAUAGUUGUUUUGUAAUAAUUCAUUAGCUAGGUAGAGAUGAUUUGAUUUUGUAACGCCCCCCAAUAGUCCCACAUCGGAUGAAAUACUGAUUCUGAUUAAUUGAUUCCGAUUAGUUUAUAUGAGGCAUACACGCUAGUAAUAAUAACUGGGCUUAAGCAUUUUGGACCGAUGUUUUGGGUCCAACGAGUUAUUGUUGCUAGUUGGUCGGGUUGUUACACAACUGUCAUAUCAUUGUCGAUUUAGAAAAUUAACAGUAGUUCAAUGGAGGAGUAU
rnacentral:lncRNA from 1 species